CACAUCUCAACAUUCUUUUCUCUAUCACUUACAAUUCACAUGGCUUCUAAAUCAACCUCGCUUAUUUGGGUUGCCCUCAUUCUUUUUGUGUUUUCACUGUCUGCCAUGAAACUAGCUGGUGCUUCUGAGCUUCAUCAUACAAGGUCGUAUGAAAUGGCUUGGAGUAGAAGGCUUAUGAACCACAGAGAUCCUGAUUUGCCUCAUGACGGCAAUUAUCGCCGUCUAUGAUAAGGAUGUGUUAGGUUGCAAUUGUAAGAAGAAUGAAAUACAAAUUAAGAACUAAAUUAUAUGUAUAUUGGAUAUUUAAUGGCUUUGCUUAUUGUAAUCGUGUGGUUGCACUUUCAUAUAUUGAUGUUGUUGUCUUGUAAGUA